GAUUGGAUAUGGUACAAUAAUAAACCCAACAAGAGGGCACGUCUCUGCCAAUCCUGUCUUUUUCAGGGAAGAAUAUAAAAAAAAGGACCUGAAUAAGGAGAGAAGAAUCAUUUGGAGGAAACAUUUUUUCUAUAGCAACAUUUAUGGAAAUAAAUAAGUCUCACAAUCUGGUUGUGAGCGAUAAUAGCUUUGUUUCAUGGACUUCAAGACAGCUGUGAAGUUCUAGCUCUACUAGAAGUACCAAGACUUACCUGCCACUCGUGGUGUUAUAACCUGUUUCAGCAAAGUGCUCAACAGUAGAUUGAGCCAAAGGUGUGGUGAAUGAGCUAGAUAGAGAAGUCACUCAGGGAAUCUUUCUCAGCUUAUCAUUCACUAUAAUUAUGCAAGAAACACAGGACUCCUCCUUCAGCUAUGUAUUUGAAAAUACAUGAAAUGUUGUCUGACAGAGAAGCAUAUUAUAGAAACGGUGCCCAGGCUUUGUAUGGGAGGGUGCUUACGUAGACAGGCUCUACUUGACACAUACCUAGGGUUACAGAAGGAAAACAGGCUCACACAUAAGCUACGCUGAUUACAGAGCUUCUCCACAGUUCACCCAUCUUGUGAAUUUGGCCAGGAUUGAAAUCUCCAAAUAGAAGUCUCCAGACUUAACUCAAUGGCCAAACUUAUAUAUAGACCUCAUCAAGGAUAACAAUUUAGCUUUCUGGAUCAAUUCUAUGCAUGCUCCACUUCCAAUAUUUUACCUACAAAUUUCUUAUUUUUGCGUAUUUUUUAUUUCUCCCUAUAUAAAUUAUUUGCCAUUUAGAGACUCAUGAGAGAUCUAUGAUCUGGCCAUGCUUGCACAACCCCCACAAGUAGGAAGAAAGCUUUAAGUGAGGAGCUUUGCUCAAAAUGAUUGUUGGUCACAUUGAGCUCUAAGGCUUUUGUUGAUAAAAUUCUUCCACAAAAUGUAUCAAUUUUGUAGGAACCAGUAACUGUGGGGAGUGAGAGUGGUAUUUUCACAAUAUUGGAUUAAUGGUUGGUAUGUGGAAAAUUCAUGUUAUUGAAAGUUGUGGAAUGGGGGCUGGAUAGAUGGCUCAACACUUAAAAGUACUGACUUGUCUUCCAAAGGUCCUGAGUUCAAAUCCCAGCACCACAUGAUGGCUCAUAAUCAUCUGUAACGAGAUCUGACAUCCUCUUCUGGAGUGUCUGAAGACACAUAUAAUAAAUAAAAUAAAUCUCAGAAUGAAAGAAAGAAAGAAAGAAAGAAAGAAAGAAAGAAAGAAAGAAAGAAAGAAAGAAAGAAGGAAGGAAGGAAGGAAGGAAGGAAGGAAGGAAGGAAGGAAGGAAGGAAGGAAGGAAGUUGUGGAUUCCAGAUCACAGACUAGAGAACAGAGAUGUCAGCUGCACUAUGGCAAUUAGAACUUUAAUUUUACCUCCUCUUAAAUACAAGCAUUAUUGGUUUUCAUCUACCAACUGAAUAACACAUGGUUUUUAAUAUACUUUAUCUCUUUGUGCAUUGUCAUGAAGUUAACUUUAUGUGCUUCCUAUAUCACACUCCUAAGUUACUUUUCUAUUGCUGUAAAGAAACAUCAUGAUGAAUGCAAUUUAUAAAAGAAAGUGCUUAUUGAAAAAUUACAACUAUAGGGAUUUAGAGUCCAUGGUAGGGAGUACGGCAGCAGGCAGGUAGGCAUAGUGCUUGAGUAAUAGCUGAGGGCUUACAUCAUUACCUGCAGGUAGGAGGCAGAGAGAGAGCUAACUGGAAAUGGUAUGGGAUUUUGAAACCUCAAAGCCCACACCCAGAGACAUACCUCCUUCAACAAGGCCACACCACCUAAUCCUUCCCAAACAGUACCAGGAACACAGGACCAAGUAUUCAAAUAUAUCAUGUUGGGGAGCCAUUAUCAUUCAAUCCAACACAACACCUCAGCACAAUGUGUAAACAGAACAAUUAUUUCUUCUCAAGAGGACAUUUAGAAUUGUGCUAUCUUUGAACUCUCUAGCAAGAAUGACAUUUCACAGAGUCACUACUUCUCUUUUACAAUGGAAUUAAGAGUGUAUUUC
rnacentral:lncRNA from 1 species